GUUAGCAAGAUAGCUAUUGAAGUUCUUUGGGAGGAAAAAGAUGGAUUUUCUUUUAUAAAAAGAAUUAAGUUUAAAGCAAACCAGAGCUCUAAAUCUAAGGAGAAUGGCAUUCCAGUAAUCCCAAAGACAGGGGAAUCUAUCCUGGUCUCAGGGAAUGAGAUAUACUGUGUUUACGGUGAGGAUUCAUCAUUUUAAAAUAUGUGACCUUUUCUCCUAGAGGAUUUCAUUGCCUAUCUAAAGAUUAAAAUAAGGCCUUUAGCCUUGAUUAAAGAAGUCAUGGAGCAGAACUGAAGCAAACUCUGAAGUAUCAUAUAUGAAUGAGGAAGACAUGUUGGAUGGUGUGACCGGCAGCUCUUAAGCGAUGUGGCAAGCUUACAUGGAUUGAGAAUGUCAAAGGUGGGAUUUGAACCCAGGCCUGACUGCUCUCCCCACUUUAUCUUGUUGUUUUCUUCCUGCCACUCUGGAAAAAAGGGGUCUUUCCUGAGGCUUUAUUUAGAUUUUCAUGACAGGAGUUAGGGUUUGUUGAGAAAUUA